UUGCUCCCUGUCUCUUCAACUGGAUCAGCUAAUCGGAGGCUUCUGAUGAAUGCCUUUCAGCCUUCCUGGGCCCUGGCAACAUUCCCUCAUGUCAGCUGAAGUAGCUACAGAAGAAAGCAUGUUGUCCCUUCUCCUGCCACCCACCUCCCAGCAGGCUGAAAUACUAAGUCAAAAGGAAACUCCUUGGCACAGGGGACAAAAUGGCUACCUAUAAGCUAAUCGACAUACUAGAAAAAUGGGCCCAUUAACUAAAUAGUUGCCAACCAAGAUGUCAGGUACCCAUGUACACGCUUCUUUCUGCCAGAUCAAGAUAUGAGCUCAGCUGUUCCUUCCACCAUGCCAUUUCUCCACUACCAUGGACUCUAGCCCUCUGAAACCACAAGACCAAUUAAACACAAUCUUGAA